GAGGGGGAUAACUACUGGAAACGGUGGCUAAUACCGCAUAACGUCGCAAGACCAAAGAGGGGGACCUUCGGGCCUCUUGCCAUCAGAUGUGCCCAGAUGGGAUUAGCUUGUUGGUGAGGUAACGGCUCACCAAGGCGACGAUCCCUAGCUGGUCUGAGAGGAUGACCAGCCACACUGGAACUGAGACACGGUCCAGACUCCUACGGGAGGCAGCAGUGGGGAAUAUUGCACAAUGGGCGCAAGCCUGAUGCAGCCAUGCCGCGUGUAUGAAGAAGGCCUUCGGGUUGUAAAGUACUUUCAGCGGGGAGGAAGGUGUUGUGGUUAAUAACCGCAGCAAUUGACGUUACCCGCAGAAGAAGCACCGGCUAACUCCGUGCCAGCAGCCGCGGUAAUACGGAGGGUGCAAGCGUUAAUCGGAAUUACUGGGCGUAAAGCGCACGCAGGCGGUCUGUCAAGUCGGAUGUGAAAUCCCCGGGCUCAACCUGGGAACUGCAUUCGAAACUGGCAGGCUUGAGUCUUGUAGAGGGGGGUAGAAUUCCAGGUGUAGCGGUGAAAUGCGUAGAGAUCUGGAGGAAUACCGGUGGCGAAGGCGGCCCCCUGGACAAAGACUGACGCUCAGGUGCGAAAGCGUGGGGAGCAAACAGGAUUAGAUACCCUGGUAGUCCACGCCGUAAACGAUGUCUACUUGGAGGUUGUGCCCUUGAGGCGUGGCUUCCGGAGCUAACGCGUUAAGUAGACCGCCUGGGGAGUACGGCCGCAAGGUUAAAACUCAAAUGAAUUGACGGGGGCCCGCACAAGCGGUGGAGCAUGUGGUUUAAUUCGAUGCAACGCGAAGAACCUUACCUGGUCUUGACAUCCACAGAAGAAUCCAGAGAUGGAUUUGUGCCUUCGGGAACUGUGAGACAGGUGCUGCAUGGCUGUCGUCAGCUCGUGUUGUGAAAUGUUGGGUUAAGUCCCGCAACGAGCGCAACCCUUAUCCUUUGUUGCCAGCGGUUAGGCCGGGAACUCAAAGGAGACUGCCAGUGAUAAACUGGAGGAAGGUGGGGAUGACGUCAAGUCAUCAUGGCCCUUACGACCAGGGCUACACACGUGCUACAAUGGCGCAUACAAAGAGAAGCGACCUCGCGAGAGCAAGCGGACCUCAUAAAGUGCGUCGUAGUCCGGAUUGGAGUCUGCAACUCGACUCCAUGAAGUCGGAAUCGCUAGUAAUCGUGGAUCAGAAUGCCACGGUGAAUACGUUCCCGGGCCUUGUACACACCGCCCGUCACACCAUGGGAGUGGGUUGCAAAAGAAGUAGGUAGCUUAACCUUCGGGAGGGCGCUUACCACUUUGUGAUUCAUGACUGGGGUGAAGUCGUAACAAGGUAACCGUAGGGGAACCUGCGGUUGGAUCACCUCCUUACCUUAAAGAA
rnacentral:rRNA from 1 species